UUUUUUAGUUUAUACAUUGCCGUGGGAUUCCCCUAAAAAACAAUGCUCAAAGCUACUUUUGGAAUUACCUGCUCGCGCAUGUGUCGUUUUUUAUUACCAUUGUUUGUUGAGUGUUAAAUCCAUUUAGCUUUGGUUCUUGUUGGUGACUUUUUCCUUGAAGGGGCUGGUAACAAGCCUUAUCUGGUUUGGUUCCAGUGUAAGGGGCCCUUGGUUGAGCCUUUAAAUUUCAUCAUCCUUGGCAGUUGCCAAUCGACAUGGUAAAACAUUGAUUCAGAGGUGCAAAUUACAUUUCAAUAUUGCAAAAACAGACAUGUUUAAUCAAGUUUGUGAAUGGCAUGCCAGAAUAAUGAUGAAGGCACUGUAAGUUGAUCUUGUUAAGAUGGUUAAGGACUUGAAAUUCUUUUAUUUAUGAUUUUGGUUCUUUCACCUUUGGCAUGACAGUUCUUUUAGUUUCUUUGGUAUUUUUGGUUUAGUAGUACCAGUGAUUUUCUGAUAAGCUUGUGUAUGUUUGUGCAAGGUUUAAACUUUCUGAUGAAUUAGCUGUUGCUAGAAGUGGUGUACUUCUAAAAGUUUCUGAUAUUAGGUUGCUCCUUUUUUUUAACAUAAGUUGAUACUUAAGUUACACCCUCUGUCUCAAUUUAUUUUGGCAUACUUUCCUUUUAGUUUGUCCCGAAAAAAAUUAUUUUGGCAUACUUUCCUUUUAGUUUGUCCCGAAAAAAUUUAUUUUGGCAUACUUUCCUUUUAGUUUGUCCCGAAAAAAAUAGUACCUUUCUACAUUAGAAAUAAUUUAACUAUAAAAUUUCUAUUUUAUCCAUAUUUUAUGGCCACACAAAUGUUUAUAGCGUCUUUUUAGACCAUAAAUUUUAAAAUUAUUCUUUCUUUCUUAAACUUUGUGCCCGAUAAAACAAGGCCACGUUAAUUGGGACGCAAGAAGUAAUUCUAAAAAUGCUUUGUGAUAUUCCUUAUGUUCCUUAUUCCUUUCGGUGAUUCAUGCCUCAUCAUUUCUGUCUACUUCAAGGUACUAGUUGUCGGUAUACUAAUUUAUAAACAUUUUAAAAAUAUUGGUAUAAUAUGUGUGUGAUGAGUUGCACAGAAAUUGAAGGCGGAAAUGCAAUCUCAAUUUGAAGCACAAUCAUACUGAAAAAUUGUUAUUGGAUGCAUUUAAAAAGUAAUGUUCGAUCGACUUCAAUUGUACAAUUAUUAUAAUAUAUCAAUUAGAAUAGUUUAUUUUUAUAUCUCCAACAACACAUAUUUAAGUAUUGCUAGCGUUAUCCUCGAACUUUUUUAUAUUCUUAGAUUUUUAUUAUCACCUGGUUGCUUUUGUUCUGGUUUUUCUAUUAUCCAGUUGGUGUUGUUACUUCUUUGACUUUUUCGCUACUGUGUUUCUUUUUCUAUUUUUUUGUGAUUGAUUAUGCAUGCUUGCUUUGAACCAACGGUCUAUCGGAAACAAUAUCUCUACCUGCACGAGGUAGGGCUAAGGCUGUAUACAUAUUAACCUUCCCAAACCUUACUUGUGGAUUACACUGGGUAUGUUGUUGUAACAACACAUAAUUUAAAGAGAGGGGAGAGCUACUCUAAAGGCUCCAUUUUUCUAAUUUUUCUAAUUUAACAACACGAUCGGCGUCAAGGCUCCAUUUUUCUAAUUUUUUUAUCCGACCUCCAUUUCGUUUAUUUAGCCCUAGGGGUCAUUUUUGAGAGAUUAUCUGAUAUUUUAAAGAGAGGGGAGAGCUACUCUAGAGAGAGAAAGGGGAGGUUCAAGGAUUUCACUACUCAACUUAAGUCAAGCCUUGGAAUAUCACUAAGAAGGACUCGCUAGGACUUCAAAGAGGUAAGAAUUUCUUUUCCCAAUUCUUCAAUUCCGGGCUUAAGGUUAAUUAUGGAUGAUGAGGGUAGAUUUAUCACAUGCAUGAGCUAAUAGGGAUUGUGAGAGAGUUUUUGAACAAUCUUGGGUGGUUUUGUUGCUGAAUUGGUUGAGAAAAAGGUUGGGUCAUAGUUGUAACAACCCUUGCCAUACGAAUUUCUCUAAUCGCGCUUGUAAUUCUCUCCUCCUCUAUAGAUUGGCAUUGUUAGGAGUGCUGGGACAUUAUUGUUGCAUUACGAAAAGCUCUUUCGAGGUAUGAAGGCUAAACUCUUUUUCUAGUAUCGGAAUUCCCGAACCCUUGUAAAAUUCUAUCAUGUGUAGUCGAACUUGAAACGCUAUUGAUGUGGGAUGUUCGAGCUAGUGAAUUGAUUCUCAAAAUGCAUAACGUGUCUGAACCCUCAUGUGUUAAAGAUUGUCUAUUGUGACUUAAUUAUGUUAUACCCUUUGUAGGAUGAAGGUAUUGUAUGAAAUCAAUGUGAUUAAACACUUAUUUCUCAUAUGAUGAAACUUUAUGAACUUACACUGCUAAGGCCAAAGGGAACUCUUUUGUACAAACUAUUAUAGUUUUGGGACCCUAAAUUGUGGUAUUGUGAAUAAACCUUCACCCGCAUGUAUUUGGGUGAGGCGGCAAGGCCGCUUUGUAUAGUGUUGUGAUAUCGUGAGUACACCUCCACCCGCAUAUAUAUUAGGGUGAGACGGUGGGGCCGCUUUGUAUAGUGUUGUGAUAUCGUGAGUACAUCUCCACCCGUAUAUAUAUUGGGGUGAGGCGGCGGGGCCACUUUGUGUAGUGUUAUAGUAUUGUCAGUACACCUCCACCCGUAUACAUUGGGAUGAGGCGGCAGGGCCGCUUUGUGUAGAGUUCCUGGUAUUGUGAUUGCACCUCCACCCGCAUACAUUGGGGUGAGGCGGCAGGGCCGCUCUGUGUAAAGAAAGUUAUAGAGGAUCCCCGACUUAAAAUUUAUAAAUAUUAUUGAAAGCUUUUAAUAAAUUUGCUAUGGCUUUAAUGGCUAGUUAAGCCUUUUUAUUGUUAUCAUAAUUCAUCAUAAUUCAUAUUGUAUUUCCAAGUCCUUGAAUAGGUGUUUGGUUGUCAUACUAGUACUAUUCGACAUGUACUAAUAUCCUUUUUACCAGGGGCGCUGCAUCUUUAAUGGAUGCAGGUGGUUCCACAACGGAAGGCAUUGACCAGUGAUAGCGGUACACUCUUCUCUCAGCUGACUUGGUAAGCUCCACUUUUUUUGGGGUUGUGCAUCUUUUGUUCCGUGUGUAUUAUGUUUUGAGGUAUAGCCGGAGCCUUGUUGCCGGCACUAUCAUUGCACUCUUUUAUAUCUAUUAGAGGCUCUGUAGACAUAGUGUUGAUGUGUAUUAGUGUGGAAAAGUUAAACUAAUGGUGUUGUAAUCGUAUCUCAUGCUUCCACUGUAAGACUAUGGUUGUGAAAUGUAUUGUUUUGGAGACUUAUAAAUGAAGUAUCUAAUGGUGAUGGA
rnacentral:lncRNA from 1 species